rnacentral:rRNA from 1 species
AGUGAACGCUGGCGGUAGGCCUAACACAUGCAAGUCGAACGGCAGCACAGUAAGAGCUUGCUCUUACGGGUGGCGAGUGGCGGACGGGUGAGGAAUACAUCGGAAUCUACUUUUUCGUGGGGGAUAACGUAGGGAAACUUACGCUAUACCGCAUACGACCUACGGGUGAAAGCAGGGGAUCUUCGGACCUUGCGCGAUUGAAUGAGCCGAUGUCGGAUUAGCUAGUUGGCGGGGUAAAGGCCCACCAAGGCGACGAUCCGUAGCUGGUCUGAGAGGAUGAUCAGCCACACUGGAACUGAGACACGGUCCAGACUCCUACGGGAGGCAGCAGUGGGGAAUAUUGGACAAUGGGCGCAAGCCUGAUCCAGCCAUACCGCGUGGGUGAAGAAGGCCUUCGGGUUGUAAAGCCCUUUUGUUGGGAAAGAAAAGCAGCAGGUUAAUACCCCGCUGUUCUGGCGGUACCCAAAGAAUAAGCACCGGCUAACUUCGUG